CGACCGGCGCACGGGUGAGUAACACGUAUCCAGCCUGCCGAUGACUCGGGAUAGCCUUUCGAAAGAAAGAUUAAUACCCGAUGGCAUAGUUCUUCCGCAUGGUAGAACUAUUAAAGAAUUUCGGUCAUCGAUGGGGAUGCGUUCCAUUAGCUUGUUGGCGGGGUAACGGCCCACCAAGGCAUCGAUGGAUAGGGGUUCUGAGAGGAAGGUCCCCCACAUUGGAACUGAGACACGGUCCAAACUCCUACGGGAGGCAGCAG
rnacentral:rRNA from 1 species